CCUACGGGGAGGCAGCAGUGGGGAAUUUUCCGCAAUGGGCGAAAGCCUGACGGAGCAACGCCGCGUGAGGGAUGAAGGCCUCUGGGCUGUAAACCUCUUUCAUCAAGGAAGAAGAUCUGACGGUACUUGAUGAAUAAGCCACGGCUAAUUCCGUGCCAGCAGCCGCGGUAAUACGGGAGUGGCAAGCGUUAUCCGGAAUUAUUGGGCGUAAAGCGUCCGCAGGCGGCCCUUCAAGUCUGCUGUUAAAAAGUGGAGCUUAACUCCAUCAUGGCAGUGGAAACUGUUGGGCUUGAGUGUGGUAGGGGCAGAGGGAAUUCCCGG
rnacentral:rRNA from 1 species